rnacentral:rRNA from 1 species
AUUGAACGCUGGCGGCAGGCCUAACACAUGCAAGUCGAACGAGUGGCGGACGUGUGAGCAAUGCCUGGGAAACUGCCUGAUGGCGGGGGAUAAUAACUGGAAACGGUAGCUAAUACCGCAUCCAAUGCGAUGUGCCCAGAUGGGAGUCUCUUGUUGGUGGGGUAACGGCUCACCAAGGCGACGAUCCCUAGCUGGUCUGAGAGGAUGACCAGCCACACUGGAACUGAGACACGGUCCAGACUCCUACGGGAGGCAGCAGUGGGGAAUAUUGCACAAUGGGCGGAAGAAUGAUGCAGCCAUGCAGCGUGUAUGAAGAAGGCCUUCGUGUUGUAAAGUACUUUCAGCGGGGAGGCGUUACCUGCAGAAGAAGCACCGGCUAACUCCGUGCCAGCAGCCGCGGUAAUAC